GCCCACGUAGCUCAGACGGUAGAGCGCUUCCUUGGUAAGGAAGAGGUCCACCGGUUCGAUUCCGGUCGUGGGCUCCA
rnacentral:tRNA from 1 species